AGGGCUGUAAAAUGAUCCGGGUGAUCCCGGGUACCCCUCUGCUCAAGUACCGGAUCAUAUUAUUUUUAGCUUGUCCAGAUUUGGGUCCGGGAUCGUUUUAUUCGGAUAUAAACCAAUCCCGGGUAUUUGAGAUUCGGAUCUGAACCGGAUAUGAUCCAGUAUCGUAUUUUUAAUUUUUUAACCGGGUAGUUUAUGAUCCAUCGAAUAUGAGCCGGAUAUGAUCCACUAACACUAAAUAUCAUUAUUAUUUCAGUUGUUCAAAUAAUUAUCAUUUAGUCUAAGUAAACAUAAUAUUAUAAAGAAUCAUAAUUUUAAAUUAAAACUUAUAGUUAUAUGUUGGUAUAUAUCAUUUAUUAGAUAUAUAUGAAGAUAAUAAGUAUGAUCACAUUAAAUAAAUCAUAUUUUAUGAAGAUAAACUUAAAUAAGAUAUUAAAAUUUUAUAAAACCAUGACUAUUUACUUACAAAUAUGAUGGUGUUAAAAUAUAAUAUGUAUAUGAGUUUGAAUCGAAUAUGAACCGUGGAUCAUAUUCGGUUAUUCGGGUAGGAUCAUAUUAUGAAAAAUUAUAUGAGACUGAAUCUGAACGGAUAUAGGUGUGCUCGUAUCCGGGAUCAUAUAUUAUACGGGCUUAAUUUUUCCGCCAGAUUUGGAUCGUUUUCAAAACGGAUAUGAGAUAUGUAUCAUAUUUUCGAGUCGGAUAUGAGCCGAGACACCGGAUAGUCCGUAUCGAUUUACAGCCCUA
rnacentral:lncRNA from 1 species